rnacentral:rRNA from 1 species
UACGUAGGUGGCAAGCGUUGUCCGGAUUUACUGGGCGUAAAGAGCGCGCAGGCGGUCGAAUAAGUCGAAUGUGAAAGCCCCCGGCUUAACUGGGGAGGGUCAUUCGAUACUGCUCGACUUGAAGGCAGGAGAGGGCAGCAGAAUUCCCGGUGUAGUGGUGAAAUGCGUAGAUAUCGGGAGGAAUACCAGUGGCGAAGGCGGCUGCCUGUCCUGUUCUUGACGCUGAGGCGCGAAAGCUGGGGGAGCAAACGGG